rnacentral:rRNA from 1 species
UGGGGAAUUUUGGACAAUGGGCGCAAGCCUGAUCCAGCCAUGCCGCGUGAGUGAAGAAGGCCUUCGGGUUGUAAAGCUCUUUCGGUGGGGAAGAAAUGGCACGCUCUAACAUAGCGUGUUGAUGACGGUACCCGCAUAAGAAGCACCGGCUAACUACGUGCCAGCAGCCGCGGUAAUACGUAGGGUGCGAGCGUUAAUCGGAAUUACUGGGCGUAAAGCGUGCGCAGGCGGUUGUGUAAGUCAGGUGUGAAAUCCCCGGGCUCAACCUGGGAAUGGCAUUUGAGACUGCACGGCUAGAGUGUGGCAGAGGGGGGUAGAAUUCCACGUGUAGCAGUGAAAUGCGUAGAGAUGUGGAGGAAUACCGAUGGCGAAGGCAGCCCCCUGGGCCACUACUGACGCU